AAAUUGAAGAGUUUGAUCAUGGCUCAGAUUGAACGCUGGCGGCAGGCCUAACACAUGCAAGUCGAACGGUAACAGGAAACAGCUUGCUGUUUCGCUGACGAGUGGCGGACGGGUGAGUAAUGUCUGGGAAGCUGCCUGAUGGAGGGGGAUAACUACUGGAAACGGUAGCUAA
rnacentral:rRNA from 1 species